rnacentral:rRNA from 1 species
AUACGUAGUGUGCGAGCGUUGUCCGGAUUUAUUGGGCGUAAAGGGCUCGUAGGUGGUUGAUCGCGUCGGAAGUGUAAUCUUGGGGCUUAACCCUGAGCGUGCUUUCGAUACGGGUUGACUUGAGGAAGGUAGGGGAGAAUGGAAUUCCUGGUGGAGCGGUGGAAUGCGCAGAUAUCAGGAGGAACACCAGUGGCGAAGGCGGUGCUCUGGGCCUUUCCUGACGCUGAGGAGCGAAAGCGUGGGGAGCGAACAGGCUUAGAUACCCUGGUAGUCCACGCUGUAAACGGUGGGCACUAGGUGUGGGGUCCAUUCCACGGGUUCCGUGCCGUAGCUAACGCUUUAAGUACCCCGCCUGGGGAGUACGGCCGCAAGGCUAAAACUCAAAGGAAUUGACGGGG